UCCCUAGGUGAACCUGCGGAAGGAUCAUUAAAGAUUGAACGUCUGUCGAGCUUGCUCACAGGCACAUCAUAUCCAUAACACCUGUGCACUUGUCGGAUGGCUUAGUGAAGACCCCAAGGUUGGAUCUAUCCAUCUACUUUACAUAACAAAUCUGUAACAAAAGUAGUCUUAUUAUAACAUAAAAAAACUUUCAACAACGGAUCUCUUGGCUCUCGCAUCGAUGAAGAACGCAGCGAAAAGCGAUAAGUAAAGUGAAAUGCAGAAAUCAGUGAAACAUCGAAUCUUUGAACGCACCUUGCGCUCCUUGGUAUUCCCAGGAGCAUGCCUGUUUGAGUGUCAUGAAAACCCUCAACCCUAGAUUGGUUAAAACCUUUCUUUGGUUUGGAUUUGGACGUUUGCCCAUGAUAAGUCGGCUCGUCUUAAAAGUAAAAGCUGGAUCUGUCUCGCGACAUGGUUUGACUUGGCGUAAAAAGUAUUUCGCUAAGGACAUCUUCGGAUGGCCCCGUUGCAGGACUAAAGACCCCUUUCUAAACCAUUGAUCUUCUGAUCAAAAUUCUUGACAUCUGGCCUCAAAACAGGUAGGACUACCCCCUGAACUUAAGCAUAUCAAAAAGCGGAGGA
rnacentral:rRNA from 1 species